AAAAUAGAUCAUCUAAAAAUAUUAACAAUUUUUCACCAGAAUUUUAAAUUUCAGCUGCAAACCAGAUCCAUGCAUCUUUACAUGCCAGACCAUCGACAUCGAACAGUGAAGCUGCAAACCAGAUUCAGAUCAGAUCUACACAUGCCAGAGUACCUCUGUCAACAUCAAACAGUGAAAAUGCACAAACUUCAGCUACUGCAUCUACGAGUACAGGCCAAGCUUGUCUGAAAUCUGGAAUAAGCAUUCGACCG